UACAGAGGGUGCGAGCGUUAAUCGGAAUUACUGGGCGUAAAGGGUGCGUAGGUGGUUAAAUAAGUUACAUGUGAAAUUCCUGAGCUCAACUUGGGGACUGCGUGUAAUACUGUUUGACUAGAGUACUGUAGAGGGAAGUGGAAUUUCCGGUGUAGCGGUGAAAUGCGUAGAUAUCGGAAGGAACAUCAGUGGCGAAGGCGACUUCCUGGACAGAUACUGACACUGAGGCACGAAAGCGUGGGGAGCAAACAGG
rnacentral:rRNA from 2 species